GCAUCCUGCCAAGCUGGGACUGAUGCAGCUUGAGAAUAAUAGAGGGGUUCAGAUUUUAAAGGAGAAGAAGAAGAGGAAGAGCCAGAAAAGAAAGGCAGGUGACACACAUAAUCAUUGAGAUAAGAGGGAGGAUUAUGUGGUCUGCCAGAUCUUCUGUGUCCAGUAGGGACAACAGAGGAAGGAACAACUUAAGAAGAAGGAGUGGAAGGAGGAGGAUUAAUAACAAAGAGAGGAGCAGAAGGAGAAGAAAGGGAGGAAAGAAAUGAAGAAGAAACAAGACUAGAGUCAGAAGAAGAAGAAACAGGAGGAGAAGGACAAAGAGCAGCUGGAGGAGAAGGAGCAGGGUGGAGAAGGGGAGUGGAAGGAGGAGGAUUAAUAACAGAGAGAGGAACAGAAGGAGAAGAAAGGGAGGAAGGAAGUGAUGAAGAAACAGGAAUGGAGCCAGAAGGAAAAGAAAAAGAGAAGGACAAGGGGGAACAGGCAAAACAAAGUCAGAACAGGGAAUCUUAGGGGAAGGAACAGGAGGAGGAGGAAAAGUAGAAGAACCAGAGGUAACAGCAGAAGCAGAGUCAAAAGGAAAGCAGGUUUUAUGAAAGACAACAUCCCUGGACACAAAAUACUUCUUAGUGGUGAGGUCAUAUAGCCUGUAGCCCUUUUUUGCAAAAGGAUAUCCCAGAAAAACACAGGAGCGAGCUCUAGGUUUCAGCUUAUCUCUCUGUGGAAUGGGUACAGUGGCAUAUGCAAGACAGCCAAAUGCCCUUAAAUGAGAAUAAGUAGGGGUUUUUCCAUGUUCAUAAGGAGAUUUGUCGUGAAGAAGUCUGGAUGGAAUCCUAUUAAGCAAAUAGGUGGCAGUCAAUAAACAGUCCCCCCAAAAAUGAAUAGGUAAUUUGAUUGAAAAAGUAAAGCUCUACAUGCUUCAAGGAGGGUCCUAUGUUUUCUUUCUACAACACCAUUUUGUUGAGGAGUAUGGGGACAGAUAGUUUGAUGAAUAAUGCCCUGUUGGUUAAAGAAAGAAACACCAGCAAGACUAGACCCCAAUUCCAAAGCAUUAUCACUUCUGACAGUUUGUACAGUAGCAUUAAAUUGAGUUUUGACCAUACACAAAAAGGACUUAAGAAGGCUUAAAGCAUUACUUUUAUACCCCAGUAAAUGUGUCCAGGUUGCUCUAGAAAAAUCAUAAACUAUGGUAAGAAAAUAUCUAGAGCCAGAAGAGGUGGGUGUGUGAUAAGGGCCCCAAGUGUCUACAUGAAUAAGUUGGAAAGGUCUACAGGUACUGAUUGAACUGUGAGGAAAAGGAAGUCAAGUUUGCCUAGCCAUGGGACAAACAGAACAGGGAAAUGGUUGUUUGGAAGCAAAAGGAAAAGAUAAAGAAGAAAUGUGUUUCUUGCUUGCAAAAGGAAUGUAAGCCAGUCUUAAAUGCCAAAUGUAGUUCAUGUCAUUAGCAUCGGUUUUAUUAUAACAAUUGGAACUAUUUACAUUGGAAUGUAAAGCAACAGAAUUAAGGUCAGAAGAACAAACAUGAGUACAAUAAUCUUUAAUGGAGCAUACAGAAGUAGAAGAACAACAAUUAAAGAAGAAGAUUAAGGGGGCACCCAAGCAAAUUUGUACAGACCAGCCUCCUCUUUACCAAGAUCCAGAGGAAUCUUCAGAGAAGGGGCCUAUUACAUGUGAAGGAAACAAGAAGUUGCAGUAAACAGAACAAUACAGUGCAACUGUUUCACUAGCUUGUGGACAGAAAUUAAAUUGUGUUUGAAAGAUGGAACAAACAGUACAUUAUGAAGAGUAAUGUAGGGAGUUAAAGCAAAAGAGCCAGUUGAAGUCACUUUUACUUUGUAUCCAUUAGGAAGAGUUACAAGAUAAGGCACAAGUAAAGGUGUGAUAUUGAAGAGUAAGUUCUUAUUAGAUGUCAUAUGAUCAGAAGCUCCUGAAUCUAUUAUCCAGGAGACAGAAGCAAUAUGAGUAAGUAGACAGAGUUUGGAAUCAGAAACAGGACUCUCACUAAGCAUAGUACCGGCAAAGUUGGUAGCACACAACGUAGGAGAGGUCUGAGCAGGAGAAGUCUGAGCAGUGGAGUCACCCAAUUUGGACUGUUGCAGCAGAUUCAUCAAUUGAUCAUAAUGUUGCAUGCUCAAUCCAGGAAUUACUGAAUCAUGUCCAUCUACAUGUUGGACAGAUGAAUGACCCUCAAUAUGAUUUCCAGAAGCAUGAGAAUUGUGUCCAUCAGAAGAAGGGAAGGAGGUGAAAUCAACACCAGUGGUGUCAUGGGCAGCAGUAGGUCUCUUUCCUUUGUUAAACCUGAUUAUUUGAGGAAAUCCAUGAAGUUUGUAACACUUAUCAAUUAAGUGCCCAGACUUCUUGUAAUAUCUACAGAAGAGAGGUCCUCUGGAUUGAUCAAAAGUAACUCUCUGGGCAUACUGUCUAAGAGGAGGAGAGUUGGGCAAUGCAGCUUGACUGAAAGAAGGUGUAGAAGUUUUAUGUGUGUUGACACUGAAGGACAUAGAGUCGGGAUUGAACUGGGAGACAGACUGAACUUAUCUUUGUUUUUCAUCAUUGAGGAGAAUGUUAUAGACACUGUCAAGACUAGGAGAAGGUUGAAUCAUUAGCAAAUUGCUCCUCACCCCAUAUAUGUUUCAUUAAGGCCCAUGAGGAAUUGAAACACCUUAUUUUCCUCAUCAUCCUUUAUGAUGCCAGGUUUGGCAGCACAAAUACAUCUUUUUCCAUGAUUUGGGCAUACUAUUCCUAACUCAUCCCAUAACCCUUUGGGUUUGUAAAAAUAGGAUGCUAUAUCUAGAGGUCCUUGAGAAGAAUGAGAGAGUUCUCUUUUAAGUUAAAAAAUUUUGGUCCUAUUGGCUGUGCCAUAUCUGGCUUUGAGUUGUGCCCAUAUACUCUGUGCAGUCUCAGAAUAUUGAACACUCUCGGCUAUUUGAGGAGACAGAGAGGCAGUCAACCAGGAAAUGACCAUAUUAUUGCAUCUAUCCCAUAAUUCUCUCGGCUAUUUGAGAAGACAGAGAGGCACUCAACCAGGAAAUGACCAUAUUAUUGCAUCUGUCCCAUAAUUUCUGUUCAGCCAAGUUAGUCUUUGGUCUAGGGCUAGUGCCAUCAACAAAACCAAUUUUGUACAGGGCAACUAUCAUCUUUCUCUUCCAACCCCCAUAGCCACUACUCGAGAAAGGAAUAGAAACAAGGGAAACACCGGGGACAUCAGAAGAGUUAACAAAGAGAGGACUUAUAGGGUCAAUAGGUGGGGGAUUAACAGAGUUCAUAUUUGCCAUCUGAAACAGAACAACAAGGAUGAGAGGAAAGUGAUUUAAUAUCUAUGAACUAUACAAUACAACAAAUAUUCCAGCAACAAAAACACAUGCAAGCUCUAAUCAAGAGUGAGAAUAGGGUUACCAUACUGCUACUCUACCGGAGAAGAAACGGCCUUCAAAAAAAAAUUCAGAGAAAACCCUAGCUUCGUUCAUAAAAAACCCUAGCUUUCAGAGAAGCCGACGGAAUCAGGCACAAGAGGUAUCGAAAAUUCACCCUAACACCAUGCUUGAAGAAUCAGCAACAAACCAUCUCCGAUUUCACCAACAGAUCAAAAAAAUCCAGAAUCAUCACCAACAACUUGAAAAAUCCAGAAAUUAUCACCGAUAAUACAAUAAACCCAAACCGGAAGAACCGAGAAGACAAAGUAUAUAGCCGAGAGGGAGAACCACGCUCUAAUACUAUGUAAACAUGGUGAAUCGGAGAUGAAUUAGAGAUAGAGAGAGAAAGGGAGGAGAACCUUUCUCUGAUUUUUU
rnacentral:lncRNA from 1 species